GAUGAACGCUGACAGAAUGCUUAACACAUGCAAGUCUUUGGCGAAUCUGUGCUUGCACAGGCUAGCCAAGGCGGACGGGUGAGUAACGCGUAAAGAACUUGCCCUGCAGACAGGGAUAACAGACGGAAACGACUGACAACACCUGAUACAGUUGCCGGCACGCAUGUGCCCGGCAAUGAAAAGAGAUGCUGCGGGAGAGCUUUGCGUCCUAUUAGCUUGUUGGCGGGGUAACGGCCCACCAAGGCGAUGAUAGGUAGCCGGCCUGAGAGGGUGGACGGCCACAAGGGGACUGAGAUACGGUCCUUACUCCUACGGGAGGCAGCAGUGGGGAAUAUUGGACAAUGGGGGCAACCCUGAUCCAGCAAUUCUGUGUGCACGAGGAAGGUUUUCGGAUUGUAAAGUGCUUUCAGCAGGGAAGAAGGAAGGACGGUACCGCAG
rnacentral:rRNA from 1 species